rnacentral:rRNA from 1 species
CAAGUCAGAUGUGAAAGCAUGAGGCUCAACCUUAUUGUUGUGUCUGAAACUGGUAAGCUAGAGCAUAUGAGGGGUACCUGGAAUUCCUGGUGUAGGAGUGAAAUCCGUAGAUAUCAGGAGGAACGCCAAUGGCGUAGGCAGGGUACUGGCAUAUUGCUGACACUAAGGCACGAAAGCGUGGGAGCGAACGGGAUUAGAUACCCCGGUAGUCCACGCCGUAAACGAUGAAUGCUA